UUCCUCUUUUUUCUCUCUCCCUCCCCAUCUCUCUCUCCCUCUCUCUUUCCUUCUCCCUCCUUCCCUUCCUCCCAUCUCUGUUAUUCUUUACCUAAGUGUGAAUUUCUUUUAUUUAUUGUUUGAAAUUGAUCAGAUUGUCUGAUUUUAAGGACUGAUGUCUCACAUUCAUUCUGGAAAUUCGUCUAAACAUCUCAUGUUUCUCACAUGGACUCCCUAAUCACCUCCUGGAACAUGGAGGAUGCUAAGUCCGUCCUUCUCGGUCCAUGCUUCUCAAUUCAUGCUCCAUGCCUUUAUCUACGUCUCUCAAUGCCUCUUUCAGAUUUCCUCCCACUUUGUCCCACUGUGCCACGUUCUGGGUAAUUUUUUCAGGUACAGUUUCCAGUUCAUUGAUUUUUUUUUCACUUUCCCCUGCUGUGUUAGAGGAUGUGACACAUUUAUUUCCACAUUGUUUGCAAAAAUCAUGGAUAAAAGACCUAAAGCUAUUUAUACCGAACCAUGCAGUAUUCUAUGAUUGCUAAUUUAGCCUCACAUUUGCCACUGAUUGUCUAAAUAGCCUCUCAAUAGAUCCAUAUGCAACAGAAUUCUAACCCCUUUAUUUUAUUGGUGGUAAUUAUCCUAGAGAACUCUGACAUGUCCCAGUAUGAACUGGUGACCCUCUACAUCCUGGGAUCUGCCUUCAUGAAUCCCUUCUAAGGAUUCUCUUCAUUUCUCCCUCGAGUUGAAUGCCCUGCUUCUUUUUCCUCUGCCUUCCUUCUUUUCAUUUAUUUCCUCAUUUGGUGGUGAAAACCCCUUAGCAGCCUUCUCAGCCACUGUUGGCCAGGCUGGUCUCAAACUCCUGACCUCAAGUGAUCCGCCCACCUCGGCCUCCCAAAGUGCUAGGACUACAGGUGUGAGCCGCCACGGGUGGCCACACACCAUCCUUCAUCCCAUUUCCCCACACCUGGCUCUUUCUAGCUUUGCUUACUCCUCUCUAGAAAAGAAAGGUUCUUUCUAACUCUGGAGACGCUUGCAGACCUCACGGGCGGAGUGUUCUAGGAUAGUAUUUCCCCUCCACCCACUCACAAUAGUCCUUUUGAAUAAAGUUUUUCUUUACUACAUAGAAAUUUGUGUUUCCUCUGCCAGCAUAAGCCUCAGGGAGAAGAAUCAGGGCCAGACUGCCUCUUAGCCAGGUACCCUUCAUCUCUCUUCCAGGGGGUUCUUCGGGGUAAGUGAGGGCUUCUCAGAUAUCCCCCACACCUGUUCUGAUUCACCUUUCUCAGAGCUGCUGGGUCAGGGGCUGCGUGUCUCUUCCUGCUUCCCAAAUCUUCCUUCCAUCAUAUCCUGUCCUGUUCUCUUUGUCCUUGUGGAUUAACAUCUGUAAAAAUCCACCGAAUGUCAGGCUCGUGGGUUUGAAGAGGGAGGAUGAGAAAUAGUGUGUGUUUCAUACACCAUCUUUGCCAGCCUGAUUUCCAUCCUAAUGUCUGCAUCUAUUUUUAUCUUGUUUACUGUAGGAAUAAUGUUUCCGUCAUCCUAAGACACAGAUUGUUCAAAGUGUGAAUGUUUCUGAAAUCAGUGAAUUCACCUCACAGUGGCUGUCAAAGACCUGGCCAGUCACAGGCCUCGGUGGGCAUAGAGUGACCCCACCCUCUGAACUAAGAGGGGUUCUGGGAUUUGGGAAUUUCCAUUUUAAACGUGGGAUGAGCAAGUCAUCCUACUCAAGGGAGACCCAGCUGCACAGGCCAGAGGGUGUGACCUCAGCCCACUCAGUGUCCCCUCAGUUAAUUUGUGGACAGCGGUAGCACUGCAGCACUUAGACUGAAACCUAAUCUGACUUUAGAAUUGGGUUUCAUGGGACAAGAUGAUGAAGUAUGCAAGCCAAACAUUGGUUUCUCCUCUUCGGUCGUCUCAGGCUGCCUGGAGAAGUGACAAGUCGUCCACAUGGAAAUGAGGAAUCUGCAGAGCUGUCCACGUUGUCAGCAGCUUCGUCACAAGUCAAUGCCUGCACUUGGAGAGGGGUUCUCCCUUACCUUUUUUUUUUUAUUGGAGAUGGAGUCUUGCUCUUCGCCAAGGCUGGAGUACAAUGGCACGAUCUCGGCUCACUGCAAUCUCUGCCUCCUGGUUCAAGUGAUCCUCCUGCCUCAGCCUCCUGAGCAGCUGGGAUUACAGGUGCCCGUCAUCAUGCCUGACUAAUUUUUGUAUUUUUAGUAGAGAUGGGGUGUCUCCUGACCUCAAGUGAUCCAUCUGCCUUGGCCUCCUAAAGCGCUGGGAUUACAGGCAUAAGCCACUGCACACAGACCCUCCUUACCCUUUGAGGUUUACAUGUGAAACUGCAUUGGCAUCUGUAUCAGUCAGCUACAGUCAGUGAUGCUGCGUAACAAACCACCCCAAACUCAACCACUUCAAACAAUAAUCAAGUCUUCCCUCCCACAUGCCUAUGGUUAGCUGGAAGUCAGUGAACAAGGAUUGGGCCAGGCUUGACCCUAAGCUGCAGGUUGAAUCCAGGUGUGCUCCACCUGUGUUCAUUUGUGGCUGCAAGCCUAAGCAGCAGCAGCUACCUUAGGGCAGCCCUUCUCCAGGGUGGCAGAAGUGCAGUGUGCUGAGGCCACUUCAUCCGUGUAUUUCGGGUCUUUACACUGGCAAAACCACUCAUUUCCACUUGACCAAAACAAGUCACACCAAUAAGUGGAACCAAUGUAGGUCACAUGACCAGGUCCAGCACCAAGGGGUGAAGAAGUGCCAUACCUCAUGGGGGUGGGAGCAUCCUGGAACAAUAAUCUAUCUCAGCAUCUUUAUACUCACAGCCUGCUUCUCUUAAUGGCAGCUGAAAAAGGCUGGGCGCCGUGGCUCACACCUGUAAUCCCAGCACUUUGGGAAGCUGAGGCAGGUGGAUCACCUGAGGUCAGGAGUUCAAGAGCAGCCUGGCCAACAUGGUAAAACCCCGUCUCUACUAAAAUUACAAAAAUUAGUCAGGCAUGGUGGUGGGCCCCUGUAAUCCCAGCAAACCCUAGAGGCUGAGGCAGGAGAAUUGCUUGAACCCAGGAGGCAGAGGUUGCAGUGAGACAAGAUCAUGCCACCUCUCUCCAGUCUGGGUGAAAGUGUGAAACUCCAUCUCAACAAACAAAAAGGAAAAAAAAAAGCCUUCCUAUACUCACCCCACCACUUCCCUUCCCUUCCUACGUCAGAUAUGUGUUCCCAGAGCAACCAAUUCUGUAGCUCCCUGGACACUGGCUGGCUGUUCCAGAAUUUAACUGAAUUCUGAGACUACUUACCUGGCAUUAGUGCAGACCUCACCAGCUAAGGGCCAGAACCACAAGAAUGUCCCCCACUUCAGACACCAGUUGCAACUAUUGAAUCCCCAAGUCACCCACAUUUCCAUUCAACGUGGCUAUAAGUUGACUCUAAGUCACCAAUGACCUCCUCCUCAGUUUCGAUGAAUUCGCCAGGACUCAGAUCUCAGGGAAACACUUCACUUGUGCUCCCUGGUCUAUUAUGAAGGAUAUGAUAAAGAGCAGGUGAACAGCAAGGAAGAGGCACACAGGGCGAGGCCUGGGAGGGCCCCGAGCACCGGAGCUUCUGUCACCCUGGAGUUGGGGUGCACCCCCCGCCCCCCCCCACCUGCAUGUGUUCACUCACUCAGAAGCUCUCCACACCCUGUAGUUCAGGCUUCAUUAUGUAGGCAAGUCCCGUAAUUAGCGCAAUCUCCAGCCCCUCUCCCCUGCCUGGAGGGUGGCAGGUGGAGUUGAAAGCUUUAGAUUUCUAAUGGUGUCUGGGUCUUUCUAGCACUUAACCUCCCCCCUGCCCCGCCACGAGCCACCAAGCAUCACCUCAUUAGAAUAAAAGACGCUUCUAUCUCCCCAGAAAUUCCAGGGGAUUCAGAAUCACUGUCAGGAACCGGGGUCACAGACCAAAUGUUAGAACAAAAGGUUUUCCCAGCACCUCUGUCACUCAGGAGAUUGUGAGGGUUUUCAGAGCCCUCGCCCAGAGCCAGGGACAAAGACCAAAAUAUACACUUCUAAUUAUAUCACAGUAUCACAGCAGUCACAUGGACCUACUGAAGCACUCCAGGGUUGAGUGUUCAGGAUGAUGAGUGCCUCUGUCUCUGAGUGAUGCCUCAACUCCCCUACACCCUGCCCCCAAGUGAAUUUUGCAAUCACCUCUCAGAAUACAUUUUACAUUGGGCCAUCCCAACCAUAUUCUCCCAAUUCUGUGAGUGUAUUCCUGAGCCACAAUGAUAGACAAAAAGACUGAAAGUUCAUUUUGUGUGUAAGGCCCAGGCUCAUCACACACCUGUCAACGCAUUAAAGGCAGGUGAAAUUGCCAAAUCUCUCAGAAUAGAGUCUAGCAUUUCCGAGGCUGGGAGAAGUUUUGGUGACCAAUUUGUGUGUUUAAAAGGAAUAUCACUCAGGAGCCAACAUACCUCUGUCUAAAGCAACCGGCUGCUUUUCAGAAGGAGGCAUUGAACUUCCAGUGAUAAGUAAUUCAAUUAAAGGGAAAAUGAAACCUUGGCUCCUGUAUGAAACCCCGGAUUCCUCUAUGCUACUCAGAUCCAUCCUGCUAGUUCCGAGAGCGCAGGGGCAGGCAGGUGGCAAACAGGGUUUGGAAAGCAAAGUGUGAUGUUAAGUGGGAUUCAGAAGACAUCGUGGGUUAAAUCUUGAUAGUGAUCACCAGAAAGAAAUGGAGAAAUCAGGAUGGAAUUGUGUGUAUGGAGGUACGCACUUAUCACUUAGGGGUUUUUUUUAAAUCUUGGAAUUACAGUCGUGUUUACUAGUGUUCUGGAAAACUAUCAAAUUAGUGUGAGACGCCAACCACCACCUGCGGGGGUCUGGCCUGCAGACCCUGACUCCACGACGGAUGAAUGAAUGCACCCUCCCCCAUUACGGUGAUACUGGCCUUAGUGCAGACCUCACCAGUUAAAGGCCAGUCCCACAAGACUGUCCUCCACUUCAGACAUGAGUCGCAAGUCACUCACAUUUCCAUUCAACUUAGCUAUAAACUGACUCUAAGUCACCCAUGGUCUUAAUAUAAGUAACCCAUGGGCUAGGGAUGGCCGUUGGCUGCUUUCAGAGGGUGACAUACAACCAGUAGACCAGACCCUCUGUCCGUCCACACACAUUUAUUCCAUCAGGAUUUUACAACAGAGGUACUAGGUCAACACACGUGUGGAUAAUUCACAUGGUUAAAAGAGUGAUUAUAGGAAUGAUAAAAGCUUUAGGUUCUGGGCCCAGAAUAAACACAAUUAACAGGUAAUUCCCCUUUGGUCUCCCCCUGAGAGGGCCAUCCAGCACAAAGUCUACAGGAGUAAACAGAGUGGAGGCAAAGGGAUGUGGGGUAAACAGACUGAAACUGGGACAGCCUCUGACUGUCUCUGUCUCUUUCCUAUGCUAAUAUUAAUGAGGCCGCUGCCUUCAGCAUGCCUCCAUAAAACCUUUCAGCCUUCCAAAAGGUUUGAGAUUACAAUCUGUAACUUUUCCUAAUAGUUCAUAUUUUGCCAGCCACCCCAGUGAAUAUCAACAUUGGUGUUACCGCCCAUGCCUGGGGGAGUCUUAGGCGGGAGGAAUGAAAUCUGUAAGCCACCUUGAAUCUAAUUUGGGAAGAAAACUUCAGGUGGGAGAUGGGAUGGAGACAAAGCAGACACAGUGUGGGCCGGGCACAGUGGCUCACGCCUAUAAUCCCAACACUUUGAGAGGCCACGGAGGGCGGAUUGCUUGAGCCCAGGAGUUUGAGACCAGACUGGGCAACACAGGGAGAGCCCUUCUCUACCAAAACAAAAAGAAAUUAUUGGGCAUGGUGGUCCCAGCUCUCAGGAGGCUGAGGUGGGAUGAUAGCUGCAGCCUGGGAAGUAGAGGCUGCAGUGAGCCGUGAUGGCACCACGGCAUCUAGCCUAGUGAGACCCAGGCCACUGCCCAUGCCCCAUCCUCGUGUCCACCGAGUCCCACCUCUGUGCCUUCAGGCUUUUUCUAAAGCUGGAAGCUCACUCAGCCUACCUGCUGUGGAGAGUCUGGACAUGGAUGGGAAACACCACCCUUUGGGACAAACCUCAACUCAUGGGACUGGGGUCAGUGGAGAACGGCCAUUCGUCUUGUUGUCAAGGUGCCUUCUACACAGCCCUAGGGCCCAGGAGGGGCUGGGCCUCCCUGCAGCAGUAACAAGCUCUGGGCAGGCUUCCCUCCUGGCCUGCCUCACGCUGCUUUCUGGGGCUACAACCCGAGCCAGCAUCUGCUUCCCCGGAGGCCCACACAGAAUCACCUCCCUCGUGGGUUUGCAGUGGCAUUCGACAUUUCAUGGUGGCCCAGGUUGGAGUGUCAUGGCACAAUCUCAGCUCACUGCAACCUCCUCCUCCUGGAUUCCAGCAAUUCCCCUGCCUCAGCCUCUGAGUAGCUGGAACUACAGCAUGCACCACCAUGCCCGGCUAAUUUCUUUUGCAUUUUUAGUAAAGACAGGGUUUCACCAUGUUGGCCAGGCUGGUUUCGAACUCCCGACCUCAGGUGAUCUGCCUGCCUCCACCUCCCAAAGUGCUGGGAUUAAAGGCAUGAGCCACCGUGCCUGGCCGAUUCAUCACACUUUUUAAAAGCAAUUGAAGUGAAGGUGAUACUGAAAAACAUAAUAAUGACUGUUUCCUAUAAGUUUGAGAGAUUAAACCUGUAUCAAGGUGGCUAUGGCCCCAAGGCCAGAGAGAUAGAGUUGUGGAUUAUUUUCUUUCUAACUCCUCAUUUCUACUGAAUUAGAAAAUCCCAUCUCACAUACAAUUCCUGACCUUUGACAAUGGCAGGCAGCACACAGUGGCUCCUUCUGGAAAAGACAGGCUGAGGUAAGACAAGAGGCAGCCACUUUUGACAGAUUGCUUGCAGAAACCGAAUUCGGCCACGGCCAGACUCAGUCAAAUGCUGGAGAGGAGGCUGGAGGAAGAUCCCAGGGAAUGGGCUUCUCAUAGCUUCUUCACCAUACUCAGCUGUGGACACAGUUCACCGUUUGGUUGCAGCCCGUGGACGUGACCACUUAGACGUGUCUGAUCCUCAACUGCUUUCCCGGCAGUUCUCACUACGAUGUGGUCUUCCUUGAGGCCUCUGCGACUUUCCCGGCCUGAAACAAUGGCUCCAGGGCCUUUGUGGUAUAAACAGACACUAAAUAGAUCCUCCACCAGUCCCUGGACAUCGGCAGAGACAGCCACUCACUUUAUCCAUGUCACGAAGCAGAGGCUUAUGUGCCACCUCAUUUCAAGUCUCUGUGAGAAUGUGGUGCCUGCUGUCAGUGACCUCCCAGGGAGACUCUGGAUGCCUCGGCAGCUGGAUGUGGUCCUGCUGUCCGUGAUUCAGGUUAAUUCUUUUGAUAUGAGGCAAAGUUAGGGCACAGAUUUUUUUCUUCUUUUUUUCUUGAUUUGGAGUCUCAGUCUGUCACCCAGGCUAGAGUGCAGUAGCGCGAUCUCAGCUCACAGUAACCUCCACCUUCCUGGUUCAAGCAAUCCUCCUGCUUCAGCCUCCCAAGUAGCUGGGAUGACAAGCAUGCACCACCAUGCCAGGCUAAUUUUUGUAUUUUUAGUAGAGAUGACAUUUCACUAUGUUGGCCAGACUGGUCUUGAACUCCUGACCUCAAGUGAUCCUCCCAAAGCGCUGGGAUUACAGGCAUGAGCCACCAUGCCCAGCCAGGGUACAGAUUUCAGGGCUGCCCCUGCAGAGAAAUAGAUGGUGACGCAUUGUCAGAACCAACUCAGACACACCUUUUCCAGUCCACACCAUGGCUACCAGAAAAUUAUCGUCCUCAUAACUUCGCUCUAUGAAAAACCUUUUUCUGAAACAUGGGCUUUUAAAAGUCAAGGAAGGAAAAGCCACGUCUCCCUGCGGAUUGGGCAGAAGCUGUUUGGCAUGGUAGUUAAGCAUAUGUACGGAGGUAGUUGGCAAGGCGUGUAUCUCUCUGCUAGCUAGCUGUGUCACUGUGGGUGAAGUAGCCCGCCUCCAUGUCCCUUGGCUUGUUAGCUAUAAAAUGUAAAUAAUAAAAGUAUCUCAUCUUAAUACAUAAAUAAAGUAGAAGUAAAGGUUGCUGGAUGCUUGUAAAGUGCUUUUAGGACUUCCCGCCCCAGGCACGUGCUCACACAAUGCUAGCUGAGAUCAUGAUCACUUUCCUCAAAACCAUCAUCCUUUCACGGAACCUGCCAGAACCUGGUUCAUCCUCUUUGCAGCAGAGGUUUUCCUGGGUGAAGGGAAGUGACUGCUGGCAGGCACACAUCCGGGAACCGCUCUUACACAUUCUCCGUCCGUGCUGUCAGACUAUAUCCCAGAGCGCCAUUUGAUAGAGGAUUUCGCUGGCCCUUUAGUUUUCUCCCUGAGCAUCACAUUUGGCAUUAAUUUUGGGGUUGCUUUUACGACCUUCCCAGCAGCCACUUCACUUCCUCUGCUUUGGCUACAGAGAGGGCAACUUUGAAUGAUGUUGCUUUUGUCUCAUUUCAGCCUUUAUCAGUGAAAUUACCCAAUUUUGCCUGGGCACGCCUGGUUUUGUGCUUGGAAUGUGAUUUCCUUGCCGGAGGGAUCCCCACACUUUCCUUGAAAAAGUGAUGGAGACUUCCACCGCUUCAGAAGGCUGUUUGACAAAGCUUCACAACAGAUAAUGAAGUUGCAAGGUCUGAGGGCCAAGCAAGACAAGAGCAAAAUGAGACAGGAAGAAAGAGCGCACCUGGGGCCUGGAAUACAGCAGGGCUUUGGAACCUGGGAGAUCUCUUGUAAAAAGAACCACCACAAAACGUUCGUCUCCAUUGUUGUUUUAAGUGUCUUUAUUCACGGGCCACACACAGCCAUGAUCUUACAAAAAUGCACAAAUGUGAUACCAUCAUUGGUUGUAACAGGACAUGUAACAAAAUGGAAACUACCUAGAUUCCCAAGUGAAAAGCUAUAGCAGAAAAGUGCAGACUAUUGGAAAUGAGUGGAAAGGCACGGGAUUAGGUGACAUUCAUUCAUUCACUCAUUCAUUCACUCAUCCACUUAUGCUUUCAACAUAUAUUCCAUAUAUGUUGGUUCAGCACAUCCCGAGGUUCAGCAUAUAUGAAAAGCUACAGGAGUAUAUAAAUGAGGCUCCUUCUUUCUUGACUUACAUUCUUUUUUUUUUUCUUUUUUUUGAGAUGAAGUCUCGCUCAGUCACCCAGGCUGGAGUGUAGUGGUGCUAUCUCAGUUCACUGCAACCUCUGUCUCCCAGGUUCAGGUGAUUCUUCUGCCUCAGCCUCCUGAGUAGCUGGGAUUACAGGUGUGCACCACCAAGAGCUAAUUUUUGUAUUUUUAGUAGAGACGGGGUUUCACCAUGUUGGCCAGGCUGGUCUCGAACUCCUGACCUCAGGUGAUCCACCUGCCUCGGCGGAUCUGGGAUUACAGGCGUGAGCCAUGGCACCCAGCCUUGACUUCCAUUCUAAUAGGGAUAAUAAACACAUAUGUAAGCAGGAUAAGUUAAUAAAACAAGUGUUCUGAAAACAAUAAAAGAUGAAAUGUACUGGAAAGUGCUGGAGGUUGAGAUAGAAUGGGUUAAGGAAGCCUUCUUGGAGGCGUUGACCUUUGAUUUGAGACCUGGAUGAGGAGCAGGUACCCGCCACUAGCAGGUACCCGUAAGUAUUUGGGGGUUCAGUCUUCCAGGCAGAAGCAGAAGCAACUGCCAAGGCUGCAAGAACCAGGGUUCAAAUCCUAACAGCAGCUCAACCUGCCUGUGAUGCCCAGUGACCGCCUGUUGUCAAGUCUUGCAGGCAAAGAGCUUCACUACCCUGAGCUGCAGGUCCCUCCUCCCACAAUGGGGAGGGCAGAAACCACGCCAUGGGGCUUGCCAGGAGGAUGGCAAGAGCAAGUGAGAUAGAGAGCUUGGCUCAGUCCCAGGUGCAGAAACAUUGUGCCAAAUUGUUCCUCAUAUGGCUGAGGGCAGAGAGCAGGUAGAUGCAAACACCCAGGGUUGGCUUCUUGGAGUGGCAGACUGAGGGGAAAUUGCAUUUGCUUUAUUAAGAGUUAUUUUAGGCCAGGAACGGUGGCUCAUGCCUGUAAUCCCAGCAUUUUGGGAGGCUGAGUUGGGUGGAUCAUGAGGUCAGGAGUUCAAGACCAAAAUGGUGAAACCCCAUCUCUACUAAAAAUACAAAAAAUUAGCUGAGUGUGAUGGUGGGCACCUGUAAUCCCAAGUACUCGGGAGGCUGAGGCAAGAGAAUCACUUGAACCCAGGAGGCGGAGGUUGCAGUGAGCUAAGAUCAUGCUACUGCACUCCAGCCUGGGCGACAGAGCAAUAUUUCAUCUCCAAAAAAAAAAAAAAAGAGUUAUUUUAAUACAGUUGCACCAUUUGAGAGCAUGAACAUAGAUUAGAGUGAAUUGCUCUUUCCUUCAACAACUAUGACCCCAGUGGAAUCCCUGCUCUCUCAAACCCCUCGCCCACACACACACACAAACACACGUCAGGGGUGGAAGAACACCCUAAACUGGAGUCCUAGCUCUGCCACUGGUAAACUGCACAAAUGUAGACAAGUUAUCACUCCUUCUGACAUGUGUCUCACCGACACCCCACCCGCCCUGCCAACAGCUCCAUCCUCUGCCUG